rnacentral:rRNA from 1 species
AUUGAACGCUGGCGGCAGGCCUAACACAUGCAAGUCGAGCGGAUGAAGGGAGCUUGCUCCUGGAUUCAGCGGCGGACGGGUGAGUAAUGCCUAGGAAUCUGCCUGGUCGUGGGGGAUAACGUCCGGAAACGGGCGCUAAUACCGCAUCCGUCCUGAGGGAGAAAGUGGGGGAUCUUCGGACCUCACGCUAUCAGAUGAGCCUAGGUCGGAUUAGCUAGUUGGUGGGGUAAAGGCCUACCAAGGCGACGAUCCGUAACUGGUCUGAGAGGAUGAUCAGUCACACUGGAACUGAGACACGGUCCAGACUCCUACGGGAGGCAGCAGUGGGGAAUAUUGGACAAUGGGCGAAAGCCUGAUCCAGCCAUGCCGCGUGUGUGAAGAAGGUCUUCGGAUUGUAAAGCACUUUAAGUUGGGAGGAAGAGCAGUAAGUUAAUACCUUGCUGUUUUGACGUUACCAACAGAAUAAGCACCGGCUAACUACGUG